rnacentral:rRNA from 1 species
UACGAAGGGGGCUAGCGUUGCUCGGAAUCACUGGGCGUAAAGCGCACGUAGGCGGACUCUUAAGUCGGUGGUGAAAUCCUGGAGCUCAACUCCAGAACUGCCUUCGAUACUGAGAGUCUUGAGUCCGGGAGAGGUGAGUGGAACUGCGAGUGUAGAGGUGAAAUUCGUAGAUAUUCGCAAGAACACCAGUGGCGAAGGCGGCUCACUGGCCCGGUUCUGACGCUGAGGUGCGAAAGCGUGGGGAGCAAACAGG